UGAACGCACACACACAAAUGACAAUUAGCUGUAUGCGUGUACAAAUUAUGAAGUCAUUCACAGCCAGAGUAGCCGAGUGGAACCUGUUUGACUGAAGGCUUAAAAGUAGUCCCUGGUUCAAUCUAUGAUUCUGACCUGUGAAUUAGGCUCUGGUCUGUUAUUGACAUUAUUACAAUAUAUGUCUUUAUAAUCUGUCUUGUAUAGCAAUGGUGACUGAAAGCAGUUUCAACUUAUAACACAAUAAGAUGUAUAACCAACAUUACGAAUCAAUGAAAUAAAGAACUAGUCCAGGGCUGCAGAAUUUCCAGAAGGUCGCAUGAGAUGCCUUGCGACAUUUUCCCUGCCUCUUUUUGAGCCUGUUCAGUGCCAUUAGCAGAUUCCUCUCCAGUUUGAGAAUAACUUCAUCCCUUUCUUCCACUCAUCUUAAAGAAGAUGUCCUUCUCAUCCUGACUAAGCAGAAAGAAAAAAUGAUAAAGCACAAUGGUUGAAAAUACUUGUAUCAUGUUGCUAACAUUAUUACGUCAAUACGUGUCAAGGUGUUAAUAUUUUUCCUGUUUCAAAGUUGAGGUUAACAACUUGAAAAAUUGUAAUGUCAUUAGCAAAAACUCUCCUCACUCGCAUCACUUCUAGCUUUGGUUGUUUUAAUCAGAAAAUAGAGACAGUUUGUCUGUAUGCUGUUCCGUGAAUGAAUUCCAUAAUUCACAUUACUGUUGAUAUUAUUAAAGCAACAAUGCUAGAACAGCAGACAAUUCUCCUUCAAAUAACAACCUACUGACUUAAAAAAUAAGAUGAACACACUGUAUAAUGUAGUCCUAGAUACACUAUACUUGAAAAACAAGAUGGGAUGGUCAUGGAUGGUCAUAUUCCUUUUUAUUUUGAGUUAAAUUGCUGCCAGAGAGACUCAGUCUCUUAAUACUCCAGGGUUUGAUAAAAUAUUUGCCCAAAUUUGAAAGCAAUAAAAUAAGGCAGAGUGUGAAGAAAAAUGAGAUUUUCAACAUUUUGGCUUUAACCCACCCUAAUCACUAACAUUAUUAAAAGUUGUUUAUAAGAUGAGCGGUUGUCAAUAAGAUUACAUUUUAUCCAUUAAGUUGAUGUCAAAAUAGCUAACAUAAUAAAAUAAUUUAAAUUGUAAUAUUAAUUGUACAUGCAUCACUGGCUAAGUGGGCAGAAGGAUUACUGCUUUUAGUUUCUAAAUAAAUGCUUCUAGCUUGAAUCAAGUUUGGUACCAUGCAAACAUAUGAGAAUUGUACUCAAUCGAAGAUCAAAACUUAAUGGAAAAUAAAUAUUGAUUUUUUUUUAAUAGCAGCAUUAACCAUAAAUUUGUGUUGGGGAGAGCAUAGUUGAUAGACUCAACACCAGUAAAUAGCUGGUAUGUUAUUUUUUAUGAACCUCUGGAAGGAUAAAAGAAAAUAUGUUUUUAUUUUUCCAGCUGAAUUCUGUCCACAUAUGGGAAUCCUUAUAGAAAUAUUGAUCGUCUCCAAUGUUUUUACUCAAACUUUAUUGUAUCAACCUCACAAGGAAGAAAGACAAAAUUGUCCAAAAGUUGAACUCAGAAUGUAACGAAAUAUGGUCAAGUAUUUCCUCUGACACUCUACGGAUUCUGUCAAUCAUUGCCCAAACAGAAUUCGAACCCUGACCAUCAGCUGAGCCAUCAGUAACACUCUUCUGUUCAUGUCAUGGACAGUUUCAGUCUUGUUUAUUAUUUGCUUUAUAUUUCAUAAUAUUAGCGAUAUUAUGGUUUGUCCAAACUAAAAUAACCCUUUCUAUGAUGGGUGCAAGGCCUGAAAUUUUGAGGAAGUGGGGAAAUAGAUUACAACAAUCCCAGGGCUCAACUAGUAUGUAUUAUACUGACCCUGGAAAGAUGAAAGGUGGAAUUUGAACUUAUAACAUAAAGACAGACAAAAUACCACAGGGCAGUUUUGUCUGCCGUACUCACAGUUCUGCCAACUCACCACUUUUGGCAAUAAAACUAAAAUCAUAAAAAUAUUUUUCUUCUCCUCUUCACUCUGCAAAUCCAGAUUUUUCUCUCAUUAAUUUCUUAUUCCCAAACUUAAACAAAUAAGUGACUCGAUUGUUGUAAUGUUUUGUUUGGUAUCGGGAGACCACAUUAUUUUUUGUGUUGCCAUAGAAAGGAGGUAAAAGCAAGGAAUGAUGAGAUCUGGUUGUCUGAGGCAGAAAGUUCUGUGGAUCCAGGAGCUUGUCCUGUGAGCCACGUCCACUUUAUUGUUGAUGUAAGCACUCCAGUGAACGUUGUUAUCAAGAAUUACUCCUACGACCCUGGUGUUAUUGGAUGCCAUGAUUAGUUCUGCUGAAGGAAGAGAUUAUGGCUGAGGGCAUUGUGUGUGUGUGUACGAGAGUGUGUGUGUUUGUAUAUGAGUGUGUGUGUGUGUGUGUGUGUGUAUUCAUGUAUAUGCAUGAAUAUAUAUGCACAUAUAAAUAUAAACAUAAAUAAAUAAAUACACACACACAGCUCUAUAUAUUCUAAAAUAGGAAUAUUAGAAAUCAAUAUGUUUGUGCAUGAGUGUGUGUGUGUGUGUAUGUGUAUGUGUGUGUGAAUAAGUAAAUAUAUGUAAAUAUAAGUAAAUCUAUGCAAAAAUAUGUAGAAAUAUUGCAUGAGAAGAUAGUAAAGAAUGAUGAGUGAAAAGGAAGCAGGAGACUCGAUCGACAAAUGAUGGAGUUAAUAAUGUGGAAAAAAUCCUAUUUCUCUCUGUUAGUGAUUCCUUUAUGAAAUAUGAAUACAUAACAGGAAUUUGAGGAAGAGAGAGAGAGAGAGAGAGGCGGGUGGGGGCGAAAUACCAUUUACAGGAAUUAUAAUGUUUACAAAUACUUAUAAAACGAAUAUAUAUUAAAAGCAAAACAUAAUUGAAAUUGAUAUUAAAUUUUCAAAUAAUGUGA